CUCUCUCUCUCUCUCUCUCUCUCUUUAUUCUCCUCAUCAGUUUGUUCUCCAAACAAAAAUUCAACAUAAAUUGCAGCAGAUUCGACCUUCAUUUCAUUACACUUUUGGCCACUUAUGAUUUCAAGGACAACGACACCGAAGCUAUACGUAUCAACCUUCUCAGACAACUGUCCAUGGAUGGCAUAUUCUGGUGCUGUAUAACCCCUGUUGCAUGAGAAAGUAGUUAGUUAUCAUUCAAUGGUUUCAAAUAUUUUACUAGAAGUACUAGAUUUGUUACAUGAAAACAUAUCACUGGUUUAAUUUCAAUUAGGAAUCAAAAUAGCCUCUAAUACAAUCCAUUA